rnacentral:pre_miRNA from 1 species
CGCAUGAGCCCUCGGAGGACUCCAUUUGUUUUGAUGAUGGAUUGUUAGGCUCCAUCAUCGUCUCAAAUGAGUCUUCAGAGGGUUCUAGCGU